UACAUGGGUCUCAAGCGUUGUUCGGAUUCAUUGGGCGUAAAGGGUGCGUAGGUGGCGAUGUAAGUCUGGUGUGAAAUCUCGGGGCUCAACCUCGAAAUUGCAUUGGAUACUGCGUUGCUUGAGGAUUGUAGAGGAGAGUGGAAUUCACGGUGUAGCAGUGAAAUGCGUAGAUAUCGUGAGGAAGACCAGUUGCGAAGGCGACUCUCUGGGCAAUUCCUGACACUGAGGCACGAAGGCCAGGGGAGCAAAAGGG
rnacentral:rRNA from 1 species